UUGGGCUCAAGUGAUCCUCCUGCCUCGGUCUCCCAAAGUACUGGGAUUAAAGGCAUGAGCUACUACAUCCAGCCAAAAGCUACAUUUUCAAGACUAGAUAAAAAGGCUACAAGGUUCAUCUGCAAGUUUCUUCAAAUGGUUGCAAUGCUUAGUGCAACCUCCAUCUCCUAGGCUCCAGUGAUCCUCCUGCCUCAGCCUCCCAAAGUGCUGGGAUUACAAGCAUGAGCUACUACAUCUGUCCAAAAGCUGCAUUUCCAAGACCAGGUUUUGGCAGUUACAGGUUGCAGGGUUCUCUGGGCCCAUCCAGGAGAUGAGAGAAAAAGAAAACUCAGGGCCUUGUACAGCGUCACCCCCAAAGUCCCGAGGUUCCUGGACAGCCUUUCUUCCUCUACACUUCCUAGAGUCCUCUUAUGUCUGUUAAAUUUUUUCCAGGGUGUCUAGUUGUAUUUAGAGGGCAGAUGCCACCUCGUCAUAGAAUGCCAGGGUCCACUCUCCAGGCAUUUGGAACGAGUUGCCACGAGGUCCUCGGGAGGGUGUGACAGUUCACACGCCCACCAGCAGCUUUCCACGUCUCCAUUUCCUCUGCCCCUGACAGCAUCUAAUGUUAUGAUUUUUGUUUGUAAAUUUGGCUUUUGGUUCCUUUAUGAGGGGAUUAAUUAAUACAGGCUGCUGGCUCCUUCCCACGAAUCCAAACCUUGGAGAUGCCAUCAAAGGGAUGACAGUUGAUGGAGCCCAGAACCUAAGAGGACCCCUGAGAGCCUUGCGGAGGCUGGGCAAACGUGGUGGAGUCUGGGACAGGAGGGGAAUCACAGUCUGAGUGGAGGAGGCCACACAGCACAACCGGGGCCAGACUGCAGCUCUCUGCUCCGGGGCCCACCUGGGGCUGUCAUCUGCCAGCCCUGCUUUCCUGUAGAAGAUCCCACCCGUACCAGCCCCAGGAAUCUAGGCAAGGCCAGAGCACCUCAGGAGCCUCCUGGAGUGAGGGCCACGACACCUGGGCAGGCUGGCUGGUGGCCCCUGGGCAGCCUUCCUCCCCAGCCCAAGGACAGCCAAUUACAGCACAGGGCAGCCCUGGACAGACAGCACCAGCUAGAAGGACAGGGGCGUUCCCUGCAGACCAGAGCAGCCCCCGGGGAUGAGCAAAGAGGGCCCCAGUCAUCCUGCCAGAGGCUCUGCCCCCAGGAGCCCCUGCCUGCCUCCCUGAAGCCCACAAGGAAGGUGUCAACUGGGGCCUAAGACGAAGGCAGUUGACCAUACCCAGGGAACAGAGAGCGGCCUGAGGAAACGAGACAGCGAGGGGAGUGAACUCCGGGAGGGAAAAACCCCAAGGUUUUUCCUUGGAGGAGGGAGCAGAUGAGCGGAUAAGACCGGUAAAUCCGUCACAUACCCUCAGGACGCAGGGAGAGCGCGGCUGGAAUUGGCAGUUAUGCAGAAGAUGCAGCCGGGAAUACUGGACUGGAACAUGCGGGCGCUUAAGUGAUGAACUUGGUGGGAAGGUUGGAGACCAGAAAAUGAAUGAGUGAGGCAGGUCAGGCUCUGAGCUCUUCUAGAAGGAGCUGAAGGGGUUGAGGAGGCAGAGGUGAGGGAGGAAAAAUAUUCAGUGCUUAAAAGAGGAAAAAUGAAUAGAUAAGAGGAAGUAUCUGAAAAAUGAUUAGGAAAUUUCCCCAAUUAAGAAAAGAUGCACAUCCUCAAACUGAAAGGGCCUGCAGAGUGUUAAUUACAUUUUAAAGUUAAAAUCUUAUGUGUACUUUCAAAGAAAAGCAUCUACAUUUUGAGUCAAAAUUGCUAAAAACUUCCAAAGAGAAAAAGCAGGUAACCCGCACAGGAACGGGAGUGGUGCUGACAUUAGAAUCGCGGCACAGACAACGGAUGCAAGAAGAAAGGGAGUGACAGCUUCAGACGCGAGAGGAAAGGACCCUGGAACCCAGGGCUGUGUCCUGCUCACCGCCAUGAAAUAUGGGCACGCAGGAAGCCAUCCUCAGUCCUAUCAGCCCCCUUGAGAGUCAACCCCAGAAACACUCUUGGAGAAAUAUUUCAGCAAGAAAAAGGAACCGGGGAGGAUGCUGCCAGGUCUAGGGAGGAGUGAUGCUUCCCCAGCGUGGAUGGUUCACUGCCAUCUAAGUAAGCAAUGACCUCCGCGUGUGCCGCACAGUCCAGCUUCCUCAGAGGCGGUGGUGGCCUGGUGGAGGAAUGUGGGCUGGCUGGGAGGCCACAGAGAAUUACUGUUUCCAUUAAAAGGAAAUGUGUUCUGGCCGGGAGCCCUGGCUCACACUGUAAUCCCAGCAUUUUGAGAGGCUCAGGCGGGUGGAUCGCUUGAGGUCAGGAG
rnacentral:lncRNA from 1 species